GACGAACGCUGGCGGCGUGCUUAACACAUGCAAGUGGUGCGACGAACCAGGCUUCGGCCUGGGGCAGAGCCGCGAACGGGUGAGUAACACGUGGGCAACCUGCCCUGUUGAUCGGGACAACCCGGGGAAACCCGGGCUAAUACCGAAUGUGGUGCCGGCUCAUGAGAGCCGUCACGAAAGGAAGCUUCGGCCUCCGCGACAGGAUGGGCCCGCGGCCCAUUAGCUUGUUGGUGGGGUAAUGGCCUACCAAGGCAACGAUGGGUAGCUGGUCUGAGAGGACGAUCAGCCACACUGGGACUGAGACACGGCCCAGGCUCCUACGGGAGGCUGCAGUGGGGAAUCUGGCGCAAGGCGCGAAAGCGUGACGCAGCAACACCGCGUGAGGGAAGACGGCCUUAGGGUUGUAAACCUCUUUCAGUUGGGACGAAGGUGCGACGGUGAAUAGCCGGCCGGACUGACGGUACCUUCAGAAGAAGCUCCGGCUAACUACGUGCCAGCCGCCGCCGUAA
rnacentral:rRNA from 1 species